GACGAACGCUGGCGGCGUGCUUAACACAUGCAAGUCGAACGGAAAGGCCCUGCUUUUGUGGGGUGCUCGAGUGGCGAACGGGUGAGUAACACGUGAGUAACCUGCCCUUGACUUUGGGAUAACUUCAGGAAACUGGGGCUAAUACCGGAUAGGAGCUCCUGCUGCAUGGUGGGGGUUGGAAAGUUUCGGCGGUUGGGGAUGGACUCGCGGCUUAUCAGCUUGUUGGUGGGGUAGUGGCUUACCAAGGCUUUGACGGGUAGCCGGCCUGAGAGGGUGACCGGCAGAAGUGGGAAGGAGAGAAGGCGCGGACGCCGACGGGAGGCAGCAGGGGGGAAUAGUGAACAAGGGGCGGAAGCCGGAGGCAGCAACGCCGCGUGCGGGAGGACGGCCUUCGGGUGGGAAACAGCAGGCGCCGGUGACGAAGGGUGAGGGAGGGGAAUGGGUAAAGAAGAACAGGCGAACUAAGUG
rnacentral:rRNA from 1 species